rnacentral:tRNA from 1 species
AGAAAUUUAGGUUAAACAGACCAGAAGCCUUCAAAGCUUCAAGUAAGCCCUCACCGCUUAAUUUCUG